CAGAGCGCAGCUAAACCAGAAAAGCACCUCCCCUACACCGAGAAGAUGCCCGUGCAAAUCGGGUCGCACUGA
rnacentral:tRNA from 2 species